GAAUCAAUGAUCUUUGACCAAGUACAGGAUGUGUUCAUUUUUUUUAAGUAUAGUGAUCUGUUCAUUUUUUAGCAAGAAAUAGCACCAGCAAGCAGAAGCAAGUAGCAGCCUUAGGUAGCAGCAAUGAAUAACAGCAAAGUAGCACAAGGUGCAACAGGGAAGUGCCACAAAGUGAGUUUCAACAGCCACAAGAGUAACUGAGCAGUAGCCUAUAACAAUUGAGCAACAACCAACAAUAGUCAAACAAUGUCUAGCCAAAGUAAUGGCCCCAGAACCUGAAACCAAUAAGGCUCUUUUGCCUUCAAAGUGAUAUAUGGCAGUAGUAAUUCAGCCAGAUAAACAGCAAACCAUCGGUGGUAUGUUGUAGUAAACAACGAUAGCAACAGGCAGCCACAUAUAGCAACAGCCAUAUUCGUUUAUCAAGUGUGAUAUAUGUUCAUUUUUUCAA